GCCGAAGUGGCGAAACUGGUAGACGCACGGGACUUAAAAUCCCGCGUGGCUCAACCCACGUGCCGGUUCGACUCCGGCCUUCGGCA
rnacentral:tRNA from 1 species